rnacentral:rRNA from 1 species
GAGUUUGAUCCUGGCUCAGGAUGAACGCUGGCGGCGUGCUUAACACAUGCAAGUCGAACGGGAAACCUUUUAUUGAAGCUUCGGCAGAUUUAGAUUGUUUCUAGUGGCGGACGGGUGAGUAACGCGUGGGUAACCUGCCUUAUACAGGGGGAUAACAGUCAGAAAUGACUGCUAAUACCGCAUAAGCGCACAGAGCUGCAUGGCUCGGUGUGAAAAACUCCGGUGGUAUAAGAUGGACCCGCGUUGGAUUAGCUUGUUGGUGGGGUAACGGCCCACCAAGGCGACGAUCAGUAGCCGACCUGAGAGGGUGACCGGCCACAUUGGGACUGAGACACGGCCCAAACUCCUACGGGAGGCAGCAGUGGGGAAUAUUGCACAAUGGGGGAAACCCUGAUGCAGCAACGCCGCGUGAAGGAAGACGGUUUUCGGAUUGUAAACUUCUGUUCUUAGUGAAGAAUAAUGACGGUAGCUAAGGAGCAAGCCACGGCUAACUACGUGCCAGCCGCCGCGGUAAUUC